GUAGUUCAGUUGGUUAGAACGCCGCCCUGUCACGGCGGAGGUCGCGGGUUCGAGUCCCGUCUCUCGCGCCA
rnacentral:tRNA from 1 species